rnacentral:rRNA from 1 species
CAUGGCUCAGGAUGAACGCUAGCGGCAGGCCUAACACAUGCAAGUCGCGGGAGGAGCUUUCGGGCUUCGACCGGCGUACGGGUGCGUAACGCGUAUCCAAUCUGCCUUUCACAUAGGGAUAGCCCGAAGAAAUUUGGAUUAAUACCUAAUAGUAUAUAGAUGUGGCAUCACAUUUAUAUUAAAGCUGAUGCGGUGAAAGAUGAGUAUGCGUUCUAUUAGCGAGUUGGAGCGGUAACGGCUCCCCAAGGCUAUGAUAGAUAGGGGUUCUGAGAGGGAUAUCCCCCACACUGGUACUGAGAUACGGACCAGACUCCUACGG